rnacentral:misc_RNA from 1 species
AAGUCGUAACAAGGUUUCCGUAGGUGAACCUGCGGAAGGAUCAUUACUGAUUUGGCGGACCGAGCGUCAGCGAGGUCUCGCGAUCACUUGUAUUUAAAACCCACACUUUGAAUGUAAUAUGUAUAUUUUUGUAUUUUUAAUAAUAAAAGAUCACUUUCAACAACGGAUCUCUUGGCUCUC